GUCCAGUUCUGUAAAGACAAAAUCCUUAAAAAAACAAAGCAGAAAGAGAGAGAAAACCAAAUAACCAAGAGAGAGAAAGUAAGAGUGAGUUCUCUCUCUCUCUCUCUCUCUCUCUCUCUCUAGGCUGCUGCUGCUGCUGGCUUGCACUGUCAUCAAAAAAAGUUGUGGCUCUUCUCAGUUUUAAUGAGUGAGAGAAGCUCCACCAUCAGAGCUCUCACCAUUGAGUUACUCGCUCUCUCUGUACCAUCUUGAAAGCCCUUAUCUUCGAGGAGAGGUUCGAAUAUUGGGUUCAAGGGAAGAAGGAAAAGCUCUCGUUUUUAUCAUCUCAAUCUUAUAAUAGCAUUCCUCUUUCCUUUUAGCUUCAAAAU
rnacentral:misc_RNA from 1 species